GGUUAAGCGACUAAGCGUACACGGUGGAUGCCCUGGCAGUCAGAGGCGAUGAAGGACGUGCUAAUCUGCGAAAAGCGUCGGUAAGGUGAUAUGAACCGUUAUAACCGGCGAUGUCCGAAUGGGGAAACCCAGUGCAAUUCGUUGCACUAUCGUUAACUGAAUACAUAGGUUAACGAGGCGAACCGGGGGAACUGAAACAUCUAAGUACCCCGAGGAAAAGAAAUCAACCGAGAUUCCCCCAGUAGCGGCGAGCGAACGGGGAGCAGCCCAGAGUCUGAAUCAGCUUGUGUGUUAGUGGAACGGUCUGGAAAGUCCGACGGUACAGGGUGAUAGUCCCGUACACCAAAAUGCACAGGCUGUGAACUCGAAGAGUAGGGCGGGACACGUGGUAUCCUGUCUGAAUAUGGGGGGACCAUCCUCCAAGGCUAAAUACUCCUGACUGACCGAUAGUGAACCAGUACCGUGAGGGAAAGGCGAAAAGAACCCCGGCGAGGGGAGUGAAAAAGAACCUGAAACCGUGUACGUACAAGCAGUGGGAGCACCUUCGGGUGUGACUGCGUACCUUUUGUAUAAUGGGUCAGCGACUUAUAUUCUGUAGCAAGGUUAACCGUAUAGGGGAGCCGCAGGGAAACCGAGUCUUAACUGGGCGUUAAGUUGCAGGGUAUAGACCCGAAACCCGGUGAUCUAGCCAUGGGCAGGUUGAAGGUUGGGUAACACUAACUGGAGGACCGAACCGACUAAUGUUGAAAAAUUAGCGGAUGACUUGUGGCUGGGGGUGAAAGGCCAAUCAAACCGGGAGAUAGCUGGUUCUCCCCGAAAGCU
rnacentral:rRNA from 2 species